rnacentral:rRNA from 1 species
UAGGGAAUAUUAGAAAUGGACGAAAGUCUGAUCUAGCGACACCGCGUGUGCGAUGAAGGCCUUCGGGUUGUAAAGCACUUUUUGGAAGGAAUAGGAAGGAAGGUACUUCCAGAAUAAGUCUCGGCUAACUACGUGCCAGCAGCCGCGGUAACACGUAGGAGGCAAACGUUAUCCGGAUUUACUGGGCGUAAAGCGUGUGUAGGCGGUUUGAUAAGUUGGAUGUGAAAGCUCCUGGCUUAACUGGGAGAGGUCGUUCAAAACUAUCAGACUUGAGAGUGGUAGAGGGAGGUGGAAUUCCGCAUGUAGUGGUGAAAUGCGUAGAUAUGCGGAGGAACACCAGUGGCGAAAGCGGCCUCCUGGCCCAUUUCUGACGCUAAGACGCGAAAGCUAGGGUAGCAAACG